CAUUCUCCCCCAUCCCUCACCCCCGGCCGCCACCUCCCCUGGCUGCUGUUGCCCUGCUUCUGCUUGGUGACCAAGGAGCAGAGAAGGGAGAGAGGAGGAAGAGGAAGAGGAAGAGGCCCUGCUGUCCAGGCCGUCUCCUCCCUAUGCCCUGCUACUGGCCUCCUCCCUGAGCCCCUUGCUUGAUGUCCAGCACCGCUCUCAGCUCCCUGCUGCUGCUGCAGAUGUGAAGUAAGAGAGGAGGAAUGAGAGAGGAAGAAGAAAGAAGUAGAUGGGGGAGAGGAAAGUGGAGGGUCACAUACCGUUCUUGCUAGUGUUUUGGGAAGAGAAAUUUGUGGUGCAAAACUGAGGUUUUCCUUGAGCUGACGAGCAUCAGAAUGGGUAGCAGCACGUCCUUUGCACAUUCACCAUCGUCUUUCAUUUUUAUGUUGUGAUGUAUGUUCAGCAACCAUUAGCCGUUUUUGUAUGGUUGUAUCGUCGUGGUGUGGAUGUAUGUUUGAGACAUGUUCCUCCUACUAUGAUGCUUUUUACUGGUAGUGUGAUGUUAUAUAUUUGUCUUCUCUGUAUUGAGUGCCAGUUAAACCUCAAAUUAUAAAGGAGGUGCUGUCAAAUUUUCUAGUUCGGUAGGCUUAUAGGGUAGUUUUGUAGCACUUUGGGCUUCUGGUGGUGUCCGGGGUGUUACAUAAGGAUCAAGGAGAAGAAGCAGAAGACCCCCUUGUCUGGCAGUACUAGUCUACUAAAGAUCAGGCUCGUGACCAGUUUUGCCAAAGAUAAGUAUCUUGGGUGUUUUCUUCUGAUAUCUCCUUGCUAUUCUUUGAUUGCACAUGCUAAUCUUUUCUACUUGUCCAUUUCUAGACCGGUCUCUCAAUUAGAGCCAAUGGCUAAGGAAGAGUGAAGACCUGUGAAUAAUUUUCUUCCAGCACCACCUCCAGCCGACCACACGAGAGAGGUCUCUCAUAUAGAUGGUGAACCUUCAAGCCUUGAAGUGAAAGUAGAGGAGGAAAAGAGGAGGCUACAGAUGCCCCUGGCUCACAUGUUGGGAAUGCUGGUCCCUAGAAGACACUGAGCACAUCUUGGAGUCUAGGUGGCUUCAGACCGGUAACUGUCCAGGAUGAGCCCAUCAAUAUCGUGGGAAGUAUUCCCAGACAUAGGGUGGACGAGAUCGAGAUCUUUUGAGAGCCAUGCAUGAUUGAAUUGCUGACAAAGGAGGGUGACCAAAUCCUUGAUGAGAAGAACAAGUUCCAAAAGGCGAACUAGGAGAAGCUGGAUACGAGGAAAAGAAGACCUCAUUUCUUUACCUUGGUGGUGAGUCAUCAUAUCCUCUUGUCAUACCCAAUACUGAAAACGUCUUCAACACUGAGAGGGUGAACAACGUCUAGUGCAGACAGAUUUCCAAGCUCAUGGAUAUGAAGGAUACCGACCAGGGUGAAGUCAAAUUGUUGGCCGGCCUGAGUGAACUUCAUCAGAGGUAUUUUUAUCUCAAGGUUGAUUGGGUUAAGUAGAAGUUGAAGUUGGACCAAAUUUGAUGAAGAUUUUGAGGACUAUAAUGAACAUGGUGUAUCCUAGGCUGCAUUUCUUCGUCGGUUGCCUGUGGGAUUCGCCCAUAAGCAAUUGAAGCCUUUUGUGUUUCUGUUGCGGUUAUUCUUUUGUUUGACCCUCGAAUGUCCUGCUUGUAAAAUGUUUCAUCGUUAAAUAAUGGAUAUUGCUAUGAUUUUAAUCUAUGGUAUCACUGUAUGUACAAGGUUAA